rnacentral:rRNA from 1 species
GACGGAGGGUGCUAGCGUUGUUCGGAUUUACUGGGCGUAAAGCGCGUGUAGGCGGCUAUGUAAGUCGGGCGUGAAAUCCCACGGCUCAACCGUGGAAGUGCACCCGAAACUGCGUAGCUAGAGUCCUGGAGAGGAAGGUGGAAUGCUUGGUGUAGAGGUGAAAUUCGUAGAUAUCAAGCGGAACACCGGUGGCGAAGGCGGCCUUCUGGACAGUGACUGACGCUGAGACGCGAAAGCGUGGGGAGCAAACAGG